UACGUGGGUGGCAAGCGUUAUCCGGAUUUAUUGGGCGUAAAGAGAACGCAGGCGGUCUUUUAAGUCUGAUGUGAAAGCCUUCGGCUUAACCGGAGUAGUGCAUUGGAAACUGGGAGACUUGAGUGCAGAAGAGGAGAGUGGAACUCCAUGUGUAGCGGUGAAAUGCGUAGAUAUAUGGAAGAACACCAGUGGCGAAAGUGGCUCUCUGGUCUGUAACUGACGCUGAGGUUCGAAAGCGUGGGUAGCAAACAGG
rnacentral:rRNA from 1 species